GGUCCACCCGUUCCCAUCCCGAACACGGAAGUUAAGCUCGUUCCUGCCGACAAUACUUGUCUGGUGACGGACUGGUAAGAUAGGUGACGCCAACA
rnacentral:rRNA from 1 species